CCUACGGGAGGCAGCAGUGAGGAAUAUUGGUCAAUGGACGAGAGUCUGAACCAGCCAAGUAGCGUGAAGGAUGACUGCCCUAUGGGUUGUAAACUUCUUUUAUAAAGGAAUAAAACGAGGCAAGUGUGCCUUUUUGCAUGUACUUUAUGAAUAAGGAUCGGCUAACUCCGUGCCAGCAGCCGCGGUAAUACGGAGGAUCCGAGCGUUAUCCGGAUUUAUUGGGUUUAAAGGGAGCGUAGAUGGGUUGUUAAGUCAGUUGUGAAAGUUUGCGGCUCAACCGUAAAAUUGCAAUUGAUACUGGCAGUCGUGAGUACAGUUGAGGUAAGCGGAAUUCGUGGUGUAGCGGUGAAAUGCUUAGAUAUCACGAAGAACCCCGAUUGCGAAGGCAGCUUACUAAACUGUGACUGACAUUGAUGCUCGAAAGUGUGGGUAUCAAACAGGAUUAGAUACCCUUGUAGUC
rnacentral:rRNA from 1 species